rnacentral:lncRNA from 1 species
GGGUUUGUUUUGUCUCUUUUGGCAGGAAUAACCGUAACUUGAACAACAAACGACUUUGCAAUUCAACUUUUCUACCUGAGUCUCCAGAGUUUUGCUAUGAAGACUGUGUUUCCCUGAUCCUACCUACUCUGAGGUCGCCUACCCCCUCUCUCUCUCUCUCUCUCUCUCUCUCUCUCUCUCCAUCACAUCUGGAGGUGAUUUAGCUGGUGUGCUGAAAGCAGCUGGAAAGAAAAACAAGCACACUUGUCAUGCAUCCUGCCAGACCUAGGGUGUGUUUGUUGGGAGAAUGAUAUAUGUGUGUGUAUUUCAGGGUGUAGCUUUUGUGUAUAUGUGCGUUUUCAUCACAGUUUGUGUCUUUGAGCUGUAUUAUGUCUUAUAAAUUAGCAGUGUUGGGGGUAACGCAUUACAAGUAACACAAGUUAUGUAAUCAGAUUACUUUUUUUAAAGUAACUAGUAAAGUAACACAUUAUUUUUAAUUUACAAGAAAAUAUAAAAGUUACUUUUUCGAAUAUGUAAUGCCACUUACUUUUUUCCCAUUAAUGAUUGAAAGCUCUCCUGUCCCCAUGUUGAGUGAAAUUGGGAGUAAGAUGUUACUUUAGUUCUAGAAUAAAUGUGAGUAAUUCAUCUCACCCACUCAGAAUAUAAUUAAAUGUUAAAUAAUAUAAAUGGCUUUUUAUGUAUUUAAUCCUAUUUUAUUUAACCAAUUUGCUGUUGAUAAUGAUCCUAUUCAACCAUACUAAGCAAAAAUUACACAAGAUAAACUAACAUUUCUUCUUUUGUUUUAUUGCUGACGUGUGUUGCACUUUCAUAUUCUGUGUUAGACGUGAAUUUACAUUUCCUUCAGCCCGAGGCUUUUGUUGUGAAAGAGCUUUUACAUUUGCCAAAGAUACAACUUUUUUUAUUGUUAAAUACAAACAAGCAAGCCCAGCCCAGAUUUAAAAAGUAAUAAAAAAAUAACAUUAUGUGGCCGGGUUCACACCGCAAGCUGCAGCAGAGCGGAAGCAGCGCGCGCCUCUUUUGCUUUCACACAGUUUUCACUUUUGCAGUGCGCAACUGAACAGCGGAUUUUGGACAGGGUACUCUAUAAUGGGUAAAUUCGCAUUGCUUUAUUUCCAUUUAAAAUACAUUUAAAUACAAAGACUUGGCAAGAAGGUUUUUUAAAUUAAUAAUUUCAUUGUAACUUUUGUUGCAUCUUUGUUUUGCUGUAUUUGCUUUCCGUGCAGUUGAUAGGCUACGUGUUGUUGAUAGAAGGAAGGUCAUAUCGCGUUAUAUUUGUUACUUGUUUAUUAUAUAUGUAUGUAUCACCUGCUUUUGUUAUUUGUGUGCUUGCUAUGUGU